CGGAUUCUGGGCGUAAGCGCACGCAGGCGGUCUGUCAAGUCGGAUGUGAAAUCCCCGGGCUCAACCUGGGAACUGCAUUCGAAACUGGCAGGCUAGAGUCUUGCAUAGGGGGGUAGAAUUCCAGGUGUAGCGGUGAAAUGCGUAGAGAUCUGGAGGAAUACCGGUGGCGAAGGCGGCCCCCUGGACAAAGACUGACGCUCAGGUGCGAAAGCGUGGGGAGCAAACAGGAUUAGAUACCCUGGUAGUCCACGCCGUAAACGAUGUCGACUUGGAGGUUGUGCCCUUGAGGCGUGGCUUCCGGAGCUAACGCGUUAAGUCGACCGCCUGGGGAGUACGGCCGCAAGGUUAAAACUCAAAUGAAUUGACGGGGGCCCGCACAAGCGGUGGAGCAUGUGGUUUAAUUCGAUGCAACGCGAAGAACCUUACCUACUCUUGACAUCCAGAGAACUUUGCAGAGAUGGAUUGGUGCCUUCGGGAACUCUGAGACAGGUGCUGCAUGGCUGUCGUCAGCUCGUGUUGUGAAAUGUUGGGUUAAGUCCCGCAACGAGCGCAACCCUUAUCCUUUGUUGCCAGCGGUUAGGCCGGGAACUCAAAGGAGACUGCCAGUGAUAAACUGGAGG
rnacentral:rRNA from 1 species